UACGGGGGGGGCAAGCGUUGUUCGGAAUUACUGGGCGUAAAGGGCUCGUAGGCGGCCAACUAAGUCAGACGUGAAAUCCCUCGGCUUAACCGGGGAACUGCGUCUGAUACUGGAUGGCUAGAGGUUGGGAGAGGGAUGCGGAAUUCCAGGUGUAGCGGUGAAAUGCGUAGAUAUCUGGAGGAACACCGGUGGCGAAGGCGGCAUCCUGGACCAAUUCUGACGCUGAGGAGCGAAAAGCCAGGGGGAGCAAACGGGG
rnacentral:rRNA from 1 species